GGGAUGAGCUGUGGAUAGGGGUGAAAGGCCAAUCAAACUUCGUGAUAGCUGGUUCUCUCCGAAAUGCAUUUAGGUGCAGCGUCGUAUUAUAGCUUGGUGGAGGUAGAGCGACUGGUUGGUUGAGCGGGACUACAAUCUUAGCAAUGUCAGCCAAACUCCGAAUGCCACUAAUUGUGUUGUACGGCAGUGAGACUGUGGGGGAUAAGCUUCAUAGUCGAGAGGGAAACAGCCCAGAUCGCCGGCUAAGGUCCCCAAGUCGUGGCUAAGUGGGAAAGGAUGUGGGACUCCCAAAACAACCAGGAGGUUGGCUUAGAAGCAGCCAUCCUUGAAAGAGUGCGUAAUAGCUCACUGGUCAAGUGAUUCCGCGCCGACAAUGUAACGGGGCUCAAGCACACCGCCGAAGUCGUGGAAUUCGUAUUAUUGGUAGGCCUUCGUGGUCCAGCCGUGUUGAUGGGUAGGAGAGCGUCGUGUGGGCGGUGAAGCGGCCGAGUGAUCGAGCCGUGGAGGCCACACGAGUGAGAAUGCAGGCAUGAGUAGCGAAAGACGGGUGAGAAACCCGUCCGCCGGAUGACUAAGGGUUCCAGGGUCAAGCUAAUCUGCCCUGGGUAAGUCGGGACCUAAGGCGAGGCCGAAAGGCGUAGUCGAUGGACAACA
rnacentral:rRNA from 1 species